UGCAGUCGAACGGUAAGGCCCCUUCGGGGGUACACGAGUGGCGAACGGGUGAGUAACACGUGGGUGAUCUGCCCUGCACUCUGGGAUAAGCCUGGGAAACUGGGUCUAAUACCGGAUAUGAGCUCCUGUCGCAUGGCGGGGGUUGGAAAGGUUUACUGGUGCAGGAUGGGCCCGCGGCCUAUCAGCUUGUUGGUGGGGUAAUGGCCUACCAAGGCGACGACGGGUAGCCGGCCUGAGAGGGCGACCGGCCACACUGGGACUGAGACACGGCCCAGACUCCUACGGGAGGCAGCAGUGGGGAAUAUUGCACAAUGGGCGAAAGCCUGAUGCAGCGACGCCGCGUGAGGGAUGACGGCCUUCGGGUUGUAAACCUCUUUCAGCAGGGACGAAGCGAGAGUGACGGUACCUGCAGAAGAAGCACCGGCCAACUACGUGCCAGCAGCCGCGGUAAUACGUAGGGUGCGAGCGUUGUCCGGAAUUACUGGGCGUAAAGAGCUCGUAGGCGGUUUGUCGCGUCGUCCGUGAAAACUUGGGGCUCAACCCCAAGCUUGCGGGCGAUACGGGCAGACUUGAGUACUGCAGGGGAGACUGGAAUUCCUGGUGUAGCGGUGAAAUGCGCAGAUAUCAGGAGGAACACCGGUGGCGAAGGCGGGUCUCUGGGCAGUAACUGACGCU
rnacentral:rRNA from 2 species